UCCUACGGGGAGCAGCAGUGGGGAAUUUUGAGUACAAUGGGGGCAACCAUGAUCCAGCCAUGCCGCGUGCGGGAAGAAGGCCUUCGGGUUGUAAACCGCUUUUAGUCGGGAAGAAAAGGCCUGUCCUAAUACGGCGUGGUUCUUGACGGUACCGGCGGAAUAAGCCCCGGCUAACUACGUGCCAGCAGCCGCGGUAAUACGUAGGGGGCGAGCGUUAAUCGGAAUUACUGGGCGUAAAGCGUGCGCAGGCGGUUCGUUAAGUCUGAUGUGAAAGCCCCGGGCUCAACCUGGGAAUGGCAUUGGAAACUGGCGAGCUGGAGUGCGGGCAGAGGGGGGUGGAAUUCCGCGUGUAAGCAGUGAAAUGUGUAGAGAUGCGGAGGAACACCGAUGGCGAAGGCAGCCCCCUGGGCCGACACUGACGCUCAGGCACGAAAGCGUGGGGAGCAAACAGGAUUAGAUACCCUGGUAGUCCACGCCCUAAACGAUGUCGACUGGGUGUUGGGAGAGAGAUCUCUUGGUACCGUAGCUAACGCGUGAAGUUCGACCGCCUGGGGAGUACGGCUUUCUUUGCAAGGUUAAAACUCAAAGGAAUUGACGGGGG
rnacentral:rRNA from 1 species